GGUGAUAUGAACCGUUAUAACCGGCGAUUUCCGAAUGGGGAAACCCAGUGUGUUUCGACACACUAUCAUUAACUGAAUCCAUAGGUUAAUGAGGCGAACCGGGGGAACUGAAACAUCUAAGUACUCCGAGGAAAAGAAAUCAACCGAGAUUCCCCCAGUAGCGGCGAGCGAACGGGGAGGAGCCCAGAGCCUGAAUCAGUGUGUGUGUUAGUGGAAGCGUCUGGAAAGGCGCGCGAUACAGGGUGACAGCCCCGUACACAAAAAUGCACAUGCUGUGAGCUCGAUGAGUAGGGCGGGACACGUGGUAUCCUGUCUGAAUAUGGGGGGACCAUCCUCCAAGGCUAAAUACUCCUGACUGACCGAUAGUGAACCAGUACCGUGAGGGAAAGGCGAAAAGAACCCCGGCGAGGGGAGUGAAAAAGAACCUGAAACCGUGUACGUACAAGCAGUGGGAGCACGCUUAGGCGUGUGACUGCGUACCUUUUGUAUAAUGGGUCAGCGACUUAUAUUCUGUAGCAAGGUUAACCGAAUAGGGGAGCCGAAGGGAAACCGAGUCUUAACUGGGCGUUAAGUUGCAGGGUAUAGACCCGAAACCCGGUGAUCUAGCCAUGGGCAGGUUGAAGGUUGGGUAACACUAACUGGAGGACCGAACCGACUAAUGUUGAAAAAUUAGCGGAUGACUUGUGGCUGGGGGUGAAAGGCCAAUCAAACCGGGAGAUAGCUGGUUCUCCCCGAAAGCU
rnacentral:rRNA from 1 species